AAGACUAUACUUUCAGGGAUCAUUUCUAUAGUUUGUUACCAGUACUGAGCAUCCCGGCUGAGGAAGCUAUGGGGAGUCCUACCUCCACACGCAACUGUCAAUAGC
rnacentral:snoRNA from 2 species